UGGGGAAUAUUGGACAAUGGGCGCAAGCCUGAUCCAGCCAUGCCGCGUGAGUGAUGAAGGCCUUAGGGUUGUAAAGCUCUUUUAUCCGGGACGAUAAUGACGGUACCGGAGGAAUAAGCCCCGGCUAACUUCGUGCCAGCAGCCGCGGUAAUACGAAGGGGGCUAGCGUUGCUCGGAAUCACUGGGCGUAAAGGGCGCGUAGGCGGCGUUUUAAGUCGGGGGUGAAAGCCUGUGGCUCAACCACAGAAUGGCCUUCGAUACUGGGACGCUUGAGUAUGGUAGAGGUUGGUGGAACUGCGAGUGUAGAGGUGAAAUUCGUAGAUAUUCGCAAGAACACCGGUGGCGAAGGCGGCCAACUGGACCAUCACUGACGCUGAGGCGCGAAAGCGUGGGGAGCAAACAGG
rnacentral:rRNA from 1 species